rnacentral:rRNA from 1 species
CAGUCGAGCGAAUGGAUUAAGAGCUUGCUCUUAUGAAGUUAGCGGCGGACGGGUGAGUAACACGUGGGUAACCUGCCCAUAAGACUGGGAUAACUCCGGGAAACCGGGGCUAAUACCGGAUAACAUUUUGAACCGCAUGGUUCGAAAUUGAAAGGCGGCUUCGGCUGUCACUUAUGGAUGGACCCGCGUCGCAUUAGCUAGUUGGUGAGGUAACGGCUCACCAAGGCAACGAUGCGUAGCCGACCUGAGAGGGUGAUCGGCCACACUGGGACUGAGACACGGCCCAGACUCCUACGGGAGGCAGCAGUAGGGAAUCUUCCGCAAUGGACGAAAGUCUGACGGAGCAACGCCGCGUGAGUGAUGAAGGCUUUCGGGUCGUAAAACUCUGUUGUUAGGGAAGAACAAGUGCUAGUUGAAUAAGCUGGCACCUUGACGGUACCUAACCAGAAAGCCACGGCUAACUACGUGCCAGCAGCCGCGGUAAUACGUAGGUGGCAAGCGUUAUCCGGAAUUAUUGGGCGUAAAGCGCGCGCAGGUGGUUUCUUAAGUCUGAUGUGAAAGCCCACGGCUCAACCGUGGAGGGUCAUUGGAAACUGGGAGACUUGAGUGCAGAAGAGGAAAGUGGAAUUCCAUGUGUAGCGGUGAAAUGCGUAGAGAUAUGGAGGAACACCAGUGGCGAAGGCGACUUUCUGGUCUGUAACUGACACUGAGGCGCGAAAGCGUGGGGAG